rnacentral:rRNA from 1 species
ACGCCUAACACAUGCAAGUCGAACGAAGUAGCAAUACUUAGUGGCAGACGGGUGAGUAACAUGUGGGUAUCUGCCCUUUGGCCUGGAAUAACACGAGGAAACUUGUGCUAAUACCGGAUAAGUCUUUACGGAGAAAGCUUUAUGCACCAUUGGAUGAGCCCGCACUUGAUUAGUUUGUUGGUGGGGUAAUGGCCUACCAAGACUGUGAUCAAUAGCUGAUUUGAGAGGAUGAUCAGCCACAUUGGGACUGAGACACGGCCCAAACUCCUACGGGAGGCAGCAGUGGGGAAUCUUGCACAAUGGAGGAAACUCUGAUGCAGCGAUGCCGCGUGAGUGAAGAAGGCCUUUGGGUUGUAAAGCUCUUUCGUCGGGGAAGAAAAUGACUGUACCCGAAUAAGAAGGUCCGGCUAACU